rnacentral:rRNA from 1 species
UGAGGAAUAUUGGUCAAUGGGCGAGAGCCUGAACCAGCCAAGUAGCGUGCAGGAUGACGGCCCUAUGGGUUGUAAACUGCUUUUAUAUGGGAAUAAAGUGAGGGACGUGUCCCUUAUUGCAUGUACCAUACGAAUAAGGACCGGCUAAUUCCGUGCCAGCAGCCGCGGUAAUACGGAAGGUCCAGGCGUUAUCCGGAUUUAUUGGGUUUAAAGGGAGCGUAGGCUGUUUGUUAAGCGUGUUGUGAAAUGUAGGAGCUCAACUUUUAGAUUGCAGCGCGAACUGGCAGACUUGAGUGCGCACAACGUAGGCAGAAUUCAUGGUGUAGCGGUGAAAUGCUUAGAUAUCAUGACGAACUCCGAUUGCGAAGGCAGCUUACGGGAGCGCAACUGACGCUAAAGCUCGAAGGUGCGGGUAUCGAACAGG